GUGCCAGCCGCCGCGGUAAUACAGAGAGUGCGAACGUUGUUCGGAAUUACUGGGCUUAAAGCGCACGUAGGCGGCGCCGCAAGUGCGGGGUGAAAUCCCACGGCUUACCCGUGGAACUGCCUUGCAGACUGUGGUGCUAGAGGAUGGUAGGGGAGAGCGGAACUCCUGGUGGAGCGGUGAAAUGCGUAGAUAUCAGGAGGAACACCGGUGGCGAAGGCGGCUCUCUGGUCCAUGACUGACGCUGAGGUGCGAAAGCUAGGGGAGCAAACGGGAUUAGAAACCCUGGUAGUCC
rnacentral:rRNA from 1 species